AGCGAGUGUGUUUCAAAACAAGC
rnacentral:siRNA from 1 species